UACGGAGGAUGCAAGCAUUAUCCGGAAUUAUUGGGCGUAAAGCGUCCGCAGGUGGUUUAUCAAGUCUGCUGUUAAAGCGCGAGGCUUAACCUCGUACAGGCAGUGGAAACUGGAUGACUAGAGUAUGGUAGGGGUAGCGGGAAUUCCCAGUGUAGCGGUGAAAUGCGUAGAUAUUGGGAAGAACACCAGCGGCGAAAGCGCGCUACUGGGCCAUUACUGACACUCAUGGACGAAAGCUAGGGGAGCGAAAGGG
rnacentral:rRNA from 1 species